ACCUGGGUGGCUCAGUGGUUGAGCAUCUGCCUUUCACUCAGGCCUUGAUCCUGGGGUCCUGGGAUCAAGUCCCACAUCAGGUU
rfam:Canis lupus familiaris chromosome 11, whole genome shotgun sequence.